AUUGAACGCUGGCGGCAGGCCUAACACAUGCAAGUCGAGCGGAGCGGCGGACGGGUGCGUAAUGCCUAUGACUCUGCCUGUUCGUGGGGGAUAACGUCCGCAAACGGGCGCUAAUACCGCAUACUAUCAGAUUAGGCUAGGUCGGAUUAGCUAGUUGGUGGGGUAAAGGCCUACCAAGGCGACGAUCCGUAACUGGUCUGAGAGGAUGAUCAGUCACACUGGAACUGAGACACGGUCCAGACUCCUACGGGAGGCAGCAGUGGGGAAUAGUGGACAAUGGGCGAAAGCCUGAUCCAGCCAUGCCGCGUGUGUGAAGAAGGUCUUCGGAUUGUAAAGCACUUUAAGUUGGGAGGCGUUACCAGCAGAAUAAGCACCGGCUAACUUCGUGCCAGCAGCCGCGGUAAUUC
rnacentral:rRNA from 1 species